rnacentral:rRNA from 1 species
ACGGGGUGCAGCAGGCGCGAAAUCUCCGCAAUGCGCGAAAGCGUGACGGGGGAAUCCCAAGUGCUUCCCUACAAGGGUGGCUUUUCUUGAGUUUAAAAAUCUUAAGGAAUAAAGGCUGGGUAAGACCGGUGCCAGCCUCCGCGGUAACACCGGCAGCCUGAGUGGUACUCGCGUUUAUUGGGCUUAGAGCGUCCGUAGUCGGUUUGGUAAGUCCCCUGUGAAAUCCACCCGCUUAACGGGUGGGCGGGCAAGGGAUACUGCUUGACUAGGGGCCGGGAAGGGCCAGGGGUAUUCUUGGGGUAGCGGUGAAAUGUUACAAUCCCAGGAAGACCAUCUGUGGCGAAGGCGCCUGGCUGGAACGGGCCCGACGAUGAGGGACGAAAGCUAGGGGAGCGAACCGGAUUAGAUACCCGGGUAGUCCUAGCCGUAAACGAUGCGGGCUGAGUAUCGCUGAAACCUCGUGUUUCAGCGGUGCUGAAGGGAAACCGUUAAGCCCGCCGCCUGGGAGUACGUCGCAAGGC